UACAGAGGUCCCAAGCGUUGUUCGGAUUCACUGGGCGUAAAGGGUGCGUAGGCGGUCGGGUAAGUCUGACGUGAAAUCUCCAAGCUCAACUUGGAAAUGGCGUCGGAUACUAUUCGGCUCGAGGAAUGGAGGGGAGACUGGAAUUCUCGGUGUAGCAGUGAAAUGCGUAGAUAUCAAGAGGAACACCGGUGGCGAAGGCGGCGACCUGGACCGACACUGACGCUAAUACACGAAAGCGUGGGGAGCAAACAGG
rnacentral:rRNA from 1 species